GCAAAAUGCACGUCAGGAACCAGGGGAGCUUGACUCUACAUUUGACUCUACAUUGGGAGCUUCACGUUUCUUUAAUCUACAGUUUUUUGCAUCUCGUUAACAAAUCUACUGUAUUUUGCAUCUCGUUAACAAAUCUACUGUAUUUUGCAUCUAUACGGCUGUAGUACCAUUCAUCCCUUUCCCCAUUCUCAUUCUCCUCCCGUUCCUUACCUGAUCUAAGGAUUCAUCCACAAUACGUUGCUAGAUCUUGCUAAGAAAAGAGGACAGGGGAGAAGUGGGAUUUGGGGUGGAGUGCGGUGGCUCCAGGCUCCCGACGGCGGCAUGUCAUCCAGCUCGACCACACGUGCCUGCAGCUCGCCGCCGUCAUCGAUUGGAUGGCCAUGGAGUUGGGUCCACUUGAACAUGAGGGGUGGCACUCCUCUAGAAAUUUUCUCUUGGAGAGAAGGAUUUUUUGCCCCCAAGCAGCAAGGCUUCGAGGCCACCGGAGAAAAUAAGAGAUUCGUUUCACUGAGUGGCGUUGCUCUCCAGUUCGUGGCGCUGGCCUAGAGCUGUGUCGUCGGGUUGGACGGCCAUGUUCUUCAUAGUGUUCUAGGAUAUAACUUAUGUCACUUGCCAUUGAUGUGCCUUGCGUUGUUUUAGGGAAUCGAACCUAUUUUUUUAGUUGACAUUCUGCCCAACUUUGAUUAUUGUCUCUUCAAGACAACCGUAAUAAUUAUAUGAAGUUUCCUAUAGCAAAAAGUGUUCAAUA